rnacentral:lncRNA from 1 species
UGAACAGGAAGACUCACCCUGACCGCCAGCCAAUACCCAGAGUACAGGAUAUCAUGGACAGCCUUGGAGAAAAUUCCUGGUUUUCACCCUUGGAUCAGGGACAAGCAUAUCACUAGGGGUUCAUGGAAAAGGAAAGCAGCCUUUGUGACCCCAUCGAGCCUGUAUGAGUGGGUUUGUUUUCAGUAUGGACUCAUGGAUGCACCAACAGCCUUCCAGCGCUUAAUGGAGGAAUGUUUGGAUGGCUUGAGAGAUGAGAUCUGUGUCCCGUAUCUGGACAACACCCUCGUCUUCAGCAAGAACUUUGAGAUCCAUGUCAACUAUUUUAGAAAAGUACUACAGAGACUAAGAGAAUAUGGGAAAAAGCUGAAGCCCAGCAAGUGAGUACAUAUAUAGUGCCAGGAGAACUGUCUGCUGAUGAGAAGGUGGCCUGGUUACAGGGUAAAUGGAAACAAGAUGUGGCGGCCCCGCACUCCUUUGAAGGUGUUCCACACCAUACCUCUGAAUCUGUGGAGGAGAAUUUAGACCUUUUCCAAGAAGGCCUGAUGAAAGAGUUACCCGGACGACUGACCCUCCUUCCAGAGAAACUUGGGUCAUCACAUGGCUGAGAUAGGACUCUGCCAAGGAGCUUCACAACAACCUACUCCACAUUUCACCCACAUCACUCCCUUGAACCAACACAUCUUUAGUAACUCAACAUAAGAUAUAUGGCAUGUGUGUUCCAAGAACAGAGAGAGAGUCUGGUCAAUCUCAAGUAAUGACACAGAGGAAAAUAUUAUUAAUUUCUAAGAUGGAUGGAUGUCAAUAAACCAGAU